UGCCAGCAGCCGCGGUAAUACGGAGGGUCCAAGCGUUAUCCGGAUUCAUUGGGUUUAAAGGGUCCGUAGGCGGGAAGAUAAGUCAGUGGUGAAAUCCUGCAGCUCAACUGUAGAACUGCCAUUGAAACUGUCUUUCUGGAGCAUAGAUGAAGUGGGCGGAAUGUAUCAUGUAGCGGUGAAAUGCAUAGAUAUGGUACAGAACACCGAUUGCGAAGGCAGCUCACUAAACUAUUACUGACGCUGAGGGACGAAAGCGUGGGGAGCGAACAGGAUUAGAUA
rnacentral:rRNA from 1 species